GGCAACAUGCCCGAGUGGUUAAGGGGACAGACUUGAAAUCUGUUGGCUUCGGCCGCGUAGGUUCGAACCCUGCUGUUGUCG